rnacentral:sRNA from 1 species
UUGGAGCAAGCGGCGGCGGCGGAGACAGAGGCAGAGGAAGAAGCUGGGGCUCCGUCCUCGCCUCCCACGAGCGAUCCCCGAGGAGAGCCGCGGCCCUCGGCGAGGCGAAGAGGCCGACGAGGAAGACCCGGGUGGCUGCGCCCCUGCCUCGCUUCCCAGGCGCCGGCGGCUGCAGCCUUGCCCCUCUUGCUCGCCUUGAAAAUGGAAAAGAUGCUUGCAGGCUGCUUUCUGCUGAUCCUCGGACAGAUCCUCCUCCUCCCUGCCGAGCCCAGGGAGCGGUCACGUGGGAGGUCCAUCUCUAGGGGCAGACACGCUCGGACCCACCCGCAGACGGCCCUUCUGGAGAGCUCCUGUGAGAACAAGCGGGCAGACCUGGUUUUCAUCAUUGACAGCUCCCGCAGUGUCAACACCCAUGACUAUGCAAAGGUCAAGGAGUUCAUCGUGGACAUCUUGCAAUUCUUGGACAUUGGUCCUGAUGUCACCCGAGUGGGCCUGCUCCAAUAUGGCAGCACUGUCAAGAAUGAAUUCUCCCUCAAGACCUUCAAGAGGAAGUCCGAGGUGGAGCGUGCUGUCAAGAGGAUGCGGCAUCUGUCCACGGGCACCAUGACGGGGCUGGCCAUCCAGUAUGCCCUGAACAUCGCAUUCUCAGAAGCAGAGGGGGCCCGGCCCCUGAGGGAGAAUGUGCCACGGGUCAUAAUGAUCGUGACGGAUGGGAGACCUCAGGACUCCGUGGCCGAGGUGGCUGCUAAGGCACGGGACACGGGCAUCCUAAUCUUUGCCAUUGGUGUGGGCCAGGUAGACUUCAACACCUUGAAGUCCAUUGGGAGUGAGCCCCAUGAGGACCAUGUCUUCCUUGUGGCCAAUUUCAGCCAGAUUGAGACGCUGACCUCCGUGUUCCAGAAGAAGUUGUGCACGGCCCACAUGUGCAGCACCCUGGAGCAUAACUGUGCCCACUUCUGCAUCAACAUCCCUGGCUCAUACAUCUGCAGGUGCAAACAAGGCUACAUUCUCAACUCGGAUCAGACGACUUGCAGAAUCCAGGAUCUGUGUGCCAUGGAGGACCACAACUGUGAGCAGCUGUGUGUGAAUGUGCCGGGCUCCUUCGUCUGCCAGUGCUACAGUGGCUACGCCCUGGCUGAGGAUGGGAAGAGGUGUGUGGCUGUGGACUACUGUGCCUCAGAAAACCACGGAUGUGAACAUGAGUGUGUAAAUGCUGAUGGCUCCUACCUUUGCCAGUGCCAUGAAGGAUUUGCUCUUAACCCAGAUAAAAAAACGUGCACAAAGAUAGACUACUGUGCCUCAUCUAAUCACGGAUGUCAGCACGAGUGUGUUAACACAGAUGAUUCCUAUUCCUGCCACUGCCUGAAAGGCUUUACCCUGAAUCCAGAUAAGAAAACCUGCAGAAGGAUCAACUACUGUGCACUGAACAAACCGGGCUGUGAGCAUGAGUGCGUCAACACGGAGGAGAGCUACUACUGCCGCUGCCACCGUGGCUACACUCUGGACCCCAAUGGCAAAACCUGCAGCCGUGAGUGUACCCUAGGGGUGGGGUGCUGAUGGAGGGUGGGGUCCACUCACGGACGCGGGCGGGUUCACUAGCAACCAGUUAUUUCUGGAGCCCACCGGGUUUCCUGAUGGUCUGUCAGGUGUAUCCUUCCUUAUCCUCAGUUUCAUCACCCAUAGAAUGUGACUAUUAAUACUAUCGGCCUAGCCAACUUGGGUUGCAAGGAUUAAAAGAAUUAAUAGGAAUAGGCCGGGCGCGGUGGCUCACGCCUGUAAUCCCAGCACAGGGAGGCCAAGGCGGGCAGAUCACCUGAGGUCAGGAGUUCAAGACCAGCCUGGCCAACAACAUGGUGAAACCCUAUCUCUACUAAAAAUACAAAAAAUUAGCUGGGUGUGGUGGUGGGUGCCUGUAAUCCCAGCUACUCGGGAGGCUGAGGCAGGAGAAUUACUCGAACCUAGGAGGCAGAGGUUGCAGUGAGCCAAGAUUGCGCCAUUGUACUCCAACCUGGGCGACAAAGCAAAACUUCAUCUC